rnacentral:rRNA from 1 species
UACGGGGGGGGCAAGCGUUGUUCGGAAUUACUGGGCGUAAAGGGCGUGUAGGUGGCCAACUAAGUCCGACGUGAAAUCCCUAGGCUUAACCUAGGAACUGCGUCGGAUACUGGAUGGCUUGAAUCCGGGAGAGGGAUGCGGAAUUCCAGGUGUAGCGGUGAAAUGCGUAGAUAUCUGGAGGAACACCGGUGGCGAAGGCGGCAUCCUGGACCGGUAUUGACACUGAAAAGCGAAAGCCAGGGGAGCAAACGGG